rnacentral:rRNA from 1 species
CCUACGGGUGGCAGCAGUGAGGAAUAUUGGUCAAGGGGCGCGAGCCUGAACCAGCCAAGUAGCGUGAAGGAUGACUGCCCUACGGGUUGUAAACUUCUUUUAUAAAGGAAUAAAGUGAGGCACGUGUGCGUUUUUGUAUGUACUUUAUGAAUAAGGAUCGGCUAACUCCGUGCCAGCAGCCGCGGUAAUACGGAGGAUCCGAUCGUUAUCCGGAUUUAUUGGUUUUAAAGGGAGCGUCGAUGGGUUGUUAAGUCAGUUGUGAAAGUUUGCGGCUCAACCGUAAAAUUGCAAUUGUUACUGGCAGCCUUGAGUACAGUUGCGGUAGGCGGAAUUCGUGGUGUAGCGG